rnacentral:tmRNA from 1 species
GGGGGUGUUCUGGAAUUCGACAUGCAUGGAUUUAUGUAAAUGGCAAUCCGUAGGUCACGUCUACGUAAAAACGUACAGUUUAAAAUAACUGCAAACAACGAAAAUUCUUACGCAGUAGCUGCCUAAAAAACAGCUCUCGUGAUCUAAUUUAAAUUGACCCGGAUUUCUAUUAGGUCUCAACUCUAACGGGUUACGUUUAAUUACGCCACCUGAAUAAUUAAAAAGAGAUAAUCAGGUAACUCUUUUAAGGCUAGCCCUGUUAUAUGGCGUUCUUGAAAGAGUAUAGUUAAAUAGUAUAACUAUGAUUGUAGAAGUUUAUGAUGAAACGUGUAUGGACAGGGGUUCAAAUCCCCUCACCUCCAUAA